UACGAAGGGGGCUAGCGUUGUUCGGAAUCACUGGGCGUAAAGGGCGCGUAGGCGGCUAGAUAAGUCGGGGGUGAAAGCCUGUGGCUCAACCACAGAAUUGCCUUCGAUACUGUCUGGCUUGAGACCGGAAGAGGUUAGUGGAACUGCGAGUGUAGAGGUGAAAUUCGUAGAUAUUCGCAAGAACACCCGUGGCGAAGGCGGCUCACUGGCCCGGUACUGACGCUGAGGUGCGAAAGCGUGGGGAGCAAACAGG
rnacentral:rRNA from 1 species